rnacentral:rRNA from 1 species
AGAGUUUGAUCCUGGCUCAGGACGAACGCUGGCGGCGUGCUUAACACAUGCAAGUCGAACGAGAGCGUAGAGAAAGCUUGCUUUUUCUACAAUCUAGUGGCAAACGGGUGAGUAACGCGUAAACAACCUGCCCUACGGAUGGGGACAACAGCUGGAAACGGCUGCUAAUACCGAAUACGUUCCGAAAGUCGCAUGACUGUCGGAAGAAAGGAUGGCCUCUAUUUAUAAGCUAUCGCCGGAGGAGGGGUUUGCGUCUGAUUAGCUAGUUGGAGGGGUAACGGCCCACCAAGGCGACGAUCAGUAGCCGGUCUGAGAGGAUGAACGGCCACAUUGGAACUGAGACACGGUCCAGACUCCUACGGGAGGCAGCAGUGGGGAAUCUUCCGCAAUGGGCGAAAGCCUGACGGAGCAACGCCGCGUGAGUGAAGACGGCCUUCGGGUUGUAAAGCUCUGUUAUACGGGACGAAUAAUCUUGUGGUUAAUACCCAUAAGAAGUGACGGUACCGUAAGAGAAAGCCACGGCUAACUACGUGCCAGCAGCCGCGGUAAUACGUAGGUGGCAAGCGUUGUCCGGAAUUAUUGGGCGUAAAGGGCGCGCAGGCGGCUUCUUAAGUCUGUCUUAAAAGUGCGGGGCUUAACCCCGUGAUGGGAUGGAAACUGGGAAGCUCAGAGUAUCGGACCGGUAGUCCUGGCCGUAAACGAUGGGUACUAGGUGUAGGAGGUAUCGACCCCUUCUGUGCCGGAGUUAACGCAAUAAGUACCCCGCCUGGGGAGUACGGCCGCAAGGUUGAAACUCAAAGGAAUUGACGGGGGCCCGCACAAGCGGUGGAGUAUGUGGUUUAAUUCGACGCAACGCGAAGAACCUUACCAAGCCUUGACAUUGAUCGCAAGGAGUAGAGAUACUCUGUUCUUCUUCGGAAGACGAGAAAACAGGUGGUGCACGGCUGUCGUCAGCUCGUGUCGUGAGAUGUUGGGUUAAGUCCCGCAACGAGCGCAACCCCUAUCUUCUGUUACCAGCACGUAAGGGUGGGGACUCAGGAGAGACUGCCGCAGACAAUGCGGAGGAAGGCGGGGAUGACGUCAAGUCAUCAUGCCCCUUAUGGCUUGGGCUACACACGUACUACAAUGGCUCUUAAUAGAGGGAAGCGAAGGAGCGAUCCGGAGCAAACCCCAAAAACAGAGUCUCAGUUCGGAUUGUAGGCUGCAACUCGCCUACAUGAAGCAGGAAUCGCUAGUAAUCGCAGGUCAGCAUACUGCGGUGAAUACGUUCCCAUUGGGGUGAAGUCGUAACAAGG